GUGGGGAAUAUUGGACAAUGGGCGAAAGCCUGAUCCAGCCAUGCCGCGUGUGUGAAGAAGGUCUUCGGAUUGUAAAGCACUUUAAGCGAGGAGGAGGCUACCGAGAUUAAUACUCUUGGAUAGUGGACGUUACUCGCAGAAUAAGCACCGGCUAACUCUGUGCCAGCAGCCGCGGUAAUACAGAGGGUGCAAGCGUUAAUCGGAUUUACUGGGCGUAAAGCGCGCGUAGGUGGCCAAUUAAGUCAAAUGUGAAAUCCCCGAGCUUAACUUGGGAAUUGCAUUCGAUACUGGUUGGCUAGAGUAUGGGAGAGGAUGGUAGAAUUCCAGGUGUAGCGGUGAAAUGCGUAGAGAUCUGGAGGAAUACCGAUGGCGAAGGCAGCCAUCUGGCCUAAUACUGACACUGAGGUGCGAAAGCAUGGGGAGCAAACAGGAUUAGAAACCCCGGUAGUCC
rnacentral:rRNA from 1 species